rnacentral:rRNA from 1 species
UACAGAGGUCUCAAGCGUUGUUCGGAUUCAUUGGGCGUAAAGGGUGCGUAGGUGGCGCGCUAAGUCAGGUGUGAAAUUUCGGAGCUUAACUCCGAAACUGCAUUUGAUACUGGCGUGCUUGAGGACUGGAGAGGAGACUGGAAUUCACGGUGUAGCAGUGAAAUGCGUAGAUAUCGUGAGGAAGACCAGUGGCGAAGGCGGGUCUCUGGGCCGAUAUUGACGCUGAGGAGCGAAAGCGUGGGGAGCGAACAGG